rnacentral:lncRNA from 1 species
CCUGAAUGACACAUCUGUGGUCCGCAUUUUACACAAAGGACUUAGUCUUUGUUUGUGAAUGGCCUCCUUAUGGAUACCGUGGAAUACAUACCGUGGAAUACGCAGUGAUUGUCUUUUAUAAUGGAUUAUUUGAAGGUCAGAAUGAGCAGACAUGAACCUGCAGAGAGUGACACACAUUCCCUCUUCACCUUACCCACUUCGAAUUAUUUAAGACAGAGGCAUUUCCUUUACUGCACAGCAGGUAUUUCUGAAAGGAGAGUUAAUGAUUACAGUAAAAUACAUGAUUUACCAACUAUUGGCACGUGCAUGUCUGACUGCAGAUAGUACCAAGCUCACAAUGCAAUAACAAGGUGCUGCUAGGUGCUCUAGGAUCGUAAGACAGCCACUGUGAUGAGCAGGGAAACCAUUGCAAGUAGAGCAUGUACCAUAGAAUUAAUUCAUGCAUCUCUUCCACUUAUCAGCUUGCUCUUUUAUUUUCUCCUUGGGCUGACCUAUAA